AAUUCAAAUGGAAUUCAAACUACAUACAGUAUUUAAUAUUUUCAAAUGGUUACAAUAGCACAUGAUUUUGGUAUUUUUAUCUUUGGGACAAAUUUUGGAUUCAAUUGGGGAUUGUUUUUGGAGGUAUUCACUUCACAUUGUAUUCAAGAUGGUUACUUCCGCCCACUGUGAAGAGUCUCGGCGUCUGAUUGGUCCAAUUUUCAGUUAGGCGCCGCCUGAUUGGCCGUUGGAUGAUGUCUAAUCCUAACAGAUGGCUAAAUCACUAGUUAAUUAUUUUCCUCAUGGAAGUUAUACAGCUCACGUAUCACACUUAAUAUUGAAUAUAUAUAAAAAGGGUUUUCCAAAAGGACCAUUUAUAAUCGAAAUACAAAACUUCACACACGAUUUUGAGCACAACAGAGCGCUCAGUGAACAGCACUUCCGGGACCUGCAUCACCGGAGGGGGACAUCUAUCUUGGUCACAAACCAUCUUUGACAGUCUUCGGCAGCAUGGUUGAAUCAGGUGAGCAUAAAAUGAAGUUUAACGUAAUUAAAUAGACCAAUGUUUUUUAACAUAGGAAAAUAGUUCAUUGUAAACAACAGUUAAAUGUUUGUUGUUAUUAAUUGCAAUCAGAUUUGAUUUUAUGAGGUCAAAUUAAGCAUUUCAGUUCUGGGCCAAGGCCAAGGCAUUUAAUUUUUUUUUUUUAAAGUUGCAUAGAAGAUUAUAAGUAGCAGUGAUUGUCACACACACACUAGGUGUGGUGAAAUUAUUCUCUGCAUUUGACCCAUCACCCUUGAUCACUAUGCUAGUAAACCUUUUCUUAAUUUUAAACAAGACAGACUAGAGUUCUUCAAAUUGUUUAUACUUUUUCUCAAAUACAAAUAUGUCAAGCUGAUAAGCACUGUGGAGUUGGCAUGUUACUGAUAUUGUUACAUUAGUUCUUUGUUUGAGAAGCUUCAUGUCUGCACUGAUCCUAAAUUUAACAGUUUUUGAAGGGUUUGGUUCUUUGUUUUAUUUCUGUGUCACUGACUUUUUUCAUUUUUAUGUGUGGAUUUGUUAGGCGCAUCAACACAUGAUAUAGACAUCGUGUCCAAAAGAAGAGCGAGACGUAAUCCUGAGGCUGAAGCUACCGAGUUUAUUUGAUCUGGAUGUGACAAGUCUUGUUUUAAGGCCCAGUGGAUCAAUGAUUGGAAAGACACCAACUGUUGAUGUUCUAUCUCAACAUUCUCCAGAUUCAUGUGACCGAUAAACCGACUUCAUCCCUCCAACAGACACCAACUGUUGGGGUUCUAUCUCAACAUUCUCCAGAUUCAGAUGUGAGCGAUAAACCGACUUCAUCCCUCCAACAGAAACCAACUGUUGAGGUUCCAUCUCAACAUUCUCCAGAUUCAGAUGUGAGCCAUUAACUGACUUCAUCCCUCCAACAG